GAUGAACGCUGGCGGCGUGCCUAAUACAUGCAAGUCGAGCGAACGGACGAGAAGCUUGCUUUUCUGAUGUUAGCGGCGGAGGGGUGAGUAACACGUGGAUAACCUACCUAUAAGACUGGGAUAACUUCGGGAAACCGGAGCUAAUACCGGAUAAUAUUUUGAACCGCAUGGUUCAAAAGUGAAAGACGGUCUUGCGGUCACUUAUAGAUGGAUCCGCGCUGCAUUAGCUAGUUGGUAAGGUAACGGCUUACCAAGGCUACGAUGCAUAGCCGACCUGAGAGGGUGAUCGGCCACACUGGAACUGACACGCGGUCCAGACUCCGACGGGAGGCAGCAGUAGGGAAUCUUCCGCAAUGGGCGAAAGCCUGACGGAGCAACGCCGCGUGAGUGAUGAAGGUCUGCGGAUCGUAAAACGCUGUUAUGAGGGAAGAACAUAUGUGUAAGUAACUGUGCACAUCUUGACGGUACCGAAUCAGAAAGCCACGGCUAACUACGG
rnacentral:rRNA from 1 species